GAUGAACGCUGGCGGCGUGCCUAAUACAUGCAAGUCGAGCGAACAGACGAGGAGCUUGCUCCUCUGACGUUAGCGGCGGACGGGUGAGUAACACGUGGAUAACCUACCUAUAAGACUGGGAUAACUUCGGGAAACCGGAGCUAAUACCGGAUAAUAUAUUGAACCGCAUGGUUCAAUAGUGAAAGACGGUUUUGCUGUCACUUAUAGAUGGAUCCGCGCCGCAUUAGCUAGUUGGUAAGGUAACGGCUUACCAAGGCGACGAUGCGUAGCCGACCUGAGAGGGUGAUCGGCCACACUGGACCUGAGACACGGUCCAGACUCCUACGGGAGGCAGCAGUAGGGAAUCUUCCGCAAUGGGCGAAAGCCUGACGGAGCAACGCCGCGUGAGUGAUGAAGGUCUUCGGAUCGUAAAACUCUGUUAUUAGGGAAGAACAAAUGUGUAAGUAACUAUGCACGUCUUGAUGGUACCUAAUCAGAAAGCCACGGCUAACUACGU
rnacentral:rRNA from 1 species